UACGUAGGUGGCAAGCGAUACUCGGAAUCACUAGGCGUAAAGCGCAGGUAGGCGGUUUGGUAAGUCUCUUGUGAAAGCUCCCGGCUUAACUGGGAGAGGUCAAGGGAAACUACCGGACUUGAGUGUCGGUAGGGGAUACUGGAAUUCCUGGUGUAGCGGUGAAAUGCGCAGAUAUCAGGAGGAACACCGGUGGCGAAGGCGGGUCUCUGGGCCGAUACUGACGCUGAGGAGCGAAAGCAUGGGGAGCGAACAGG
rnacentral:rRNA from 1 species